GACGAACGCUGGCGGCGUGCUUAACACAUGCAAGUCGAACGAUGAAGUUCCUUCGGGAAUGGAUUAGUGGCGAACGGGUGAGGAACACGUGAGAAACCUGCCUUUCAUUUUGGGAUAACUCCGGGAAACCGGGGCUAAAACCGAAUACUCCGUCGCGGCGGCAUCGCUGAGCCGGGAAAAAAUUUUGAUGAAAGAUGGUCUCGCGGCCUAUCAGCUAGUUGGUGAGGUAAUGGCUCACCAAGGCAACGACGGGUAGCCGGCCUGCGAGGGCGACCGGCCACACUGGGACUGAGGCACGGCCCAGACUCCUACGGGAGGCAGCAGUGGGGAAUAUUGGGCAAUGGGCGCAAGCCUGACCCAGCGACGCCGCGUGAGGGAUGAAGGCCUUCGGGUUGUAAACCUCUUUCAGUAGGGAAGAAGCGAAAGUGACGGUACCUAAAGAAGAAGCACCGGCUAACUAUGUGCCAGCCGCCGCGGUAA
rnacentral:rRNA from 1 species